CCUACGGGAGGCAGCAGUGGGGAAUAUUGGACAAUGGGCGAAAGCCUGAUCCAGCAAUGCCGCGUGAGUGAUGAAGGCCUUAGGGUUGUAAAGCUCUUUUACCCGGGAUGAUAAUGACAGUACCGGGAGAAUAAGCUCCGGCUAACUCCGUGCCAGCAGCCGCGGUAAUACGGAGGGAGCUAGCGUUGUUCGGAAUUACUGGGCGUAAAGCGCACGUAGGCGGCGAUUUAAGUCAGAGGUGAAAGCCCGGGGCUCAACCCCGGAAUAGCCUUUGAAACUAGAUUGCUUGAAUCCAGGAGAGGUGAGUGGAAUUCCGAGUGUAGAGGUGAAAUUCGUAGAUAUUCGGAAGAACACCAGUGGCGAAGGCGGCUCACUGGACUGGUAUUGACGCUGAGGUGCGAAAGCGCGGGGAGCAAACAGGAUUAGAUACCCUGGUAGUCCACGCCGUAAACGAUGAUAACUAGCUGUCUGGGCUCAUGGAGCUUAGGUGGCGCAGCUAACGCAUUAAGUUAUCCGCCUGGGGAGUACGGUCGCAAGAUUAAAACUUAAAUGAAUUGACGG
rnacentral:rRNA from 1 species